rnacentral:ncRNA from 1 species
UACGACCGGCCGGACAUCCUUAUGCCCGGCCCACAAGUGGAGGCUCCGAUCUCCCACCUGGCUGCCCCUCAGGGGCGGCGGGUCACCGGUCAGGUGGUGCCCAUCGUUCCGUACGGACGAUGGAGCCGCCCGACGCGCCCCGUGGUACAUGCGCGGCGGUGCUCCGGUAGUCAGAAGGAGCCCUGCCUGUGUGCCGUCCGGGGCAUUUUUC